UACGUAGGUAGCAAGCGUUGUUCGGAAUUACUGGGCGUAAAGCGCGUGUAGGCGGUGCUCCAAGUCUGGUGUGAAAUCUCCCGGCUUAACUGGGGGGGUGCCUUAGAAACUGGAAUGCUAGAGGAUGGGAGAGGUAAGCGGAAUUCCUGGUGUAGCGGUGAAAUGCGUAGAUAUCAGGAGGAACACCUGUGGUGUAGACAGCUUACUGGACCAUUUCUGACGCUGAGACGCGAAAGCGUGGGUAGCAAACAGG
rnacentral:rRNA from 1 species